GAUGAACGCUGGCGGCGUGCCUAAUACAUGCAAGUCGAGCGAACGGACGAGAAGCUUGCUUCUCUGAUGUUAGCGGCGGACGGGUGAGUAACACGUGGAUAACCUACCUAUAAGACUGGGAUAACUUCGGGAAACCGGGGCUAAUACCGGAUAAUAUUUUGAACCGCAUGGUUCAAAAGUGAAAGACGGUCUUGCUGUCACUUAUAGAUGGAUCCGCGCUGCAUUAGCUAGUUGGUAAGGUAACGGCUUACCAAGGCAACGAUGCAUAGCCGACCUGAGAGGGUGAUCGGCCACACUGGAACUGAGACACGGUCCAGACUCCUACGGGAGGCAGCAGUAGGGAAUCUUCCGCAAAGGGCGAAAGCCUGACGGAGCAACGCCGCGUGAGUGAUGAAGGUCUUCGGAUCGUAAAACUCUGUUAUUAGGGAAGAACAUAUGUGUAAGUAACUGUGCACAUCUUGACGGUACCUAAUCAGAAAGCCACGGCUAACUACGUG
rnacentral:rRNA from 1 species